UACGUAUGGUGCAAGCGUUAUCCGGAUUUACUGGGUGUAAAGGGAGCGCAGGUGGUUUAUUAAGUCUGGUGUAAAAGGCAGUGGCUCAACCAUUGUAUGCAUUGGAAACUGGUAGACUUGAGUGCAGGAGAGGAGAGUGGAAUUCCAUGUGUAGCGGUGAAAUGCGUAGAUAUAUGGAGGAACACCGGUGGCGAAAGCGGCUCUCUGGCCUGUAACUGACACUGAGGCUCGAAAGCGUGGGGAGCAAACAGG
rnacentral:rRNA from 1 species